rnacentral:rRNA from 1 species
AUUGAACGCUGGCGGCAGGCCUAACACAUGCAAGUCGAACGAGUGGCGGACGGGUGAGUAAUGUCUGGGAAACUGCCUGAUGGAGGGGGAUAACUACUGGAAACGGUAGCUAAUACCGCAUACCAUCGGAUGUGCUCAGAUGGGAGUAGCUAGUAGGUUGGGGAAAGGUUCACCUAGGCGACGAUACCUAGCUGGUCUGAGAAGAUGACCAGCUACAAGAGACAUGAGACAGGGUCCAGCCUCCGACGGGAGGCAGCAGUGGGGAAUAUUGCACAUUGGGCGCAAGCCUGAUGCAGCCAUGCGGCAUGUAUGAAGAAGGCCUUCGAGUUGUAAAGUAAUUUCAGCGGGGAGGCGUUACCCGCCGAAGAAGCACCGGCUAACUCCGUGCCAGCAGCCGCGGUAAUUC